GAGUGUGCUCCCAUGGCCAUGAAGAAAAGAAGAGCCUGUGCAUUUGCAUUUUAAGGUCGAAGGGUGACCCAUAAUCUUUAACUUAUCAUAAUGACUUGAUAUUUGGGAGGCCCUUGAAGCUUGAGGUCCAUGUUCUAUAGGCCAUAAUUCCCCUCUCAGAGCCCCUCUGACUCCUCUCGUGGGAUUCACGUUUUUAGACUAUAUGUAUGCUUGCUGCCUCUUUUGUUUCUAGCGUUUCUGUAGUCUAUUUUGUUCUUUUCUUUUUCGUUUCCUUUACUUAGUGUUUCAAUUUUUGUGGUUUUUUUUUUCCCUGAUAACCGCAGCCCUUAAGAUCGCCUUCCAGAUAACUAUGAAAGCGUUUUGAGUCAUAGCUGCGCUAUAUUAAGCUCUAAUUGGGUUUUCUUUUUAGGGUUUUCCUAUUGAGUUGUCCUUCUUGUCCCACUGGAGAUUGCUUGAGGCAUUGCCUUGUUCUCUGUGCCUGUGCUUCCCAUUUUGUUUCAACUAAUGGGAAUCAGGUCCGUUGAUACUUUAUCAAAUGGUUCGUUCUCUCUUGGGUGGGAAACAAAUGUAAAAUUUUGCCCAGAUUUGUAUUUGUUUUCUUGGCAAGAAUGAUGAAUCAAUUAGAUGUUUGAAUGGAAAUAAUCCAUUACCCUUUGUUUGAAUCCUUAGUUGUGCAGUGGAAAUGAAGAGAAAAGAAAAGAAAGGAAAUCUAAUUUCCAUUAUGAACUCUACUAGUGAGGCAUAUUAAUUGUUUGACUUGCCCAUAUUUUGCUAGUUGAUUUCAAUCAAGUAUUUGUUUUUAUUGUCUGUCUGAACUGAAAUGCUGUCAUAAUUGUGCAAUUUCGUGUGAUUUGAAUCAUCUGUCUUUGUUCUGUUGGUUUCUUACCUGGUUGUUGUAAAUUCAUUAGCUUUAUAUGUUAUUAUUCUGUGAGUGGCGGAAAGUCUUAUUCACAGACAUCUUCGUUUCAGCAACAGAAACAUUUCCACCUGAUGCGUAUGUGCACCAUCACGGCUGCCAAUCCCUAUUUUAUGGAAUGGAGCUUUUAAAUAAGUGAAUUGGUUAAUGAAAUAUAUGUUGAUGAUGACAAAUACAGGGUUGUUUCUCAAAACAUUUGCAGUGGCCGCCUAAGAGCUUUCACCUUCGCCGGGCUUGAGAGCUGGUGCUGCUUCAAUGCUUCCUUGGAUGUCUGAGACUCCAAUUCCCAAAUAAAUAAGAGAGUUACAGCACUUAAUUGCUUCAUUUGAUCAGGUUAAACUCUUAGGCUUGAGAGCUCCGUGGAUGUCUGAAACCUUCAUUCCAGUCCUAUUAGAUUUAACAUCUGUGGUUGUAAUUACUGCCCACGAUUGAUUUGAGAUGAGCGUUCUUUGGUGUCAUCAUGUUAUCGUGGAAAGUUGCAUGGUUAUGGUAUAAUGUAACAUGUGUGCAGAGCCCGCAGAUUGAAUUUUUGUUGAUAGAUGAUUUAGAAAUCCAAAGGCUUGUACCUCAAAGCAUUUCUAGUGGC